ACAAUAUUAAAAAGAAUAAAAAAAAAAAGCCAAGGCCAGGUAUUUGAAUGACAUCCUUUUGUUUCUUGUUUCUUGCGUUGUUUUGUGUU
rnacentral:ribozyme from 13 species